UGGGGAAUUUUGGACAAUGGGCGAAAGCCUGAUCCAGCAAUGCCGCGUGUGUGAAGAAGGCCUUCGGGUUGUAAAGCACUUUUGUCCGGAAAGAAAUCCUUGGCUCUAAUACAGUCGGGGGAUGACGGUACCGGAAGAAUAAGCACCGGCUAACUACGUGCCAGCAGCCGCGGUAAUACGUAGGGUGCAAGCGUUAAUCGGAAUUACUGGGCGUAAAGCGUGCGCAGGCGGUUUGCUAAGACCGAUGUGAAAUCCCCGGGCUCAACCUGGGAACUGCAUUGGUGACUGGCAGGCUAGAGUAUGGCAGAGGGGGGUUAGAAUUCCACGUGUAGCAGUGAAAAUGCGUAGAGAUGUGGAGGAAUACCGAUGGCGAAGGCAGCCCCCUGGGCCAAUACUGACGCUCAUGCACAGAAAGCGUGGGGGAGCAAACAGGAUUUAGAUACCCCUGGGUAGUCCACGCCCUAAACGAUGUCAACUAGUUGUUGGGGAUUCAUUUCCUUAGUAACGUAGCUAACGCGUGAAGUUGACCGCCUGGGGAGUACGGUCGCAAGAUUAAAACUCAAA
rnacentral:rRNA from 1 species